CCAAGACUAAAGCAAAGAAGAGCAGAUCCUAGAAAAGAAAACACGGGAAACACAACCAAAAGUAGAAAAAGACUUUGACAUGAAUAAACCAUCUAGAGUUGAACAAGAGGAGGAAGAGGAAGAAUGUGCCGUGAUUGAAGAGGAAACAAAUGAUAAAGAAUUAUAAACUUUUAAGGAAAAUGAGCUAAAUGAAGAAGGCACUUAGAAUGAGGAAGAAGAAAUGAAGACUACAAAGGUUCAGG
rnacentral:lncRNA from 1 species